AUUGAACGCUGGCGGCAGGCUUAACACAUGCAAGUCGAGCGAGCGGCGGACGGGUGAGUAAUGUCUGGGAAACUGCCUGAUGGAGGGGGAUAACUACUGGAAACGGUAGCUAAUACCGCAUACCAUCAGAUGUGCCCAGAUGGGAUUAGCUUGUAGGUGGGGUAAUGGCUCACCUAGGCGACGAUCCCUAGCUGGUCUGAGAGGAUGACCAGCCACACUGGGACGUAGACACGGUCCAGACUCCUACGGGAGGCAGCAGUGGGGAAUUUUGCACAAUGGGCGCAAGCCUGAUGCAGCCAUGCCGCGUGUAUGAAGAAGGCCUUCGGGUUGUAAAGUACUUUCGUCGGGGAGGCGUUACCCACAGAAGAAGCACCGGCUAACUCCGUGCCAGCAGCCGCGGUAAUAC
rnacentral:rRNA from 1 species